rnacentral:lncRNA from 1 species
UUUUUUUUUUUUUUUUGUCUUUUUGCCAUUUCUUGGACCGCUCCCGCAGCAUAUGGAGGUUCCCAGGCUAGGGGUCUAAUCAGAGCUGUAGCCACCAGCCUACGCCAGAGCCACAGCAACGCGGGAUCCGAGCCCCAUCUGUGACCUACACCACAGCUCAUGGUAACGCCGGAUCGUUAACCCACUGAGCAAGGGCAGGAAUCGAACCUGCCCGCAACCUCAUGGUUCCUAGUCGGAUUCAUUAACCGCUGAGCCACGACGGGAACUCCUCCACAUUUUCUUAUAUCUUUAAUAAUUAUGUUUGUGUGUAUGUAGAGUUAUGAGGGAUACCUGUCAAGAUAGAACAGCUUUUUUGCUUCUUGGUGAAAGAAGCUGCCAGCCACUUUUCUGCUAGGAUACUACAAAGAUCAAUUUGGAGCAGAUUUUCCUAAUUCUGAGAAUUUCCUGAAGAUCACUUCUUAUUAUCCAAAUGGAAGAAGUAGGAACCCAUUGACUCAGGAAAAGUAUGUACCAGAAUAUUUUGUGAUGUUUUAAAGUUUUCUCUGUGUAUCUUUUGCUAUGAAAGCUUAGAGAAAUGUGGAGUACAUUUGCAUUAUGAAAGACUUCUAGGAAGAAAUAGAAUGUCCCUGUUUCAUUUGAGACUACCUUAUCACAACAUCAGAUAGAUUGAGUUGAUUUCAUCUAAGUUCACCUGGGUCUCCAAAGGAGCAUCUUUCUACAGGUAAGACAGAUAUUUGAUGAGCGAAUUGUAGGAAAUCAUGAAGGAAAGUUCAUUCCAUUAAUAGUGUGUGCCUGGGAGACCUCCCUGUCAUGAGGUCUGACUGAAAGGGUAAAUGGAGAUUUGUAACUUUGGAAGUCUGUGUACCCUACAGCUUGUGGUGCAUCACUGGGAGUGUAAAAAGGCUCAAAUGAAUGCACUAGACAAGAUCACUGAAGUGCAGUGAGUUUGUGUGGUGGUGACAGCAGAAAUGACAAUUGACUCUUGGGGCCAAUAUGAAACUGGCUAGACAGCUUGAAUGCCUUCUCUUCUUCCUCCUUUAAUCUUUCUCUUUCCUUUCUUCCUUCUCUCCUUCCUUACCUCCUUCCUUUCCCAUGUUAAUUUUCCUGCUAAGGUAACUGAGAAACAGAGAUGACUCCUUUUGACUGCGUAAGUGUCCACAGUUCCUGACAACUUGGUUAAGGGGAAAGUUUUCAAGAGGUAAUAACUGGCCCUAUGGGGGAUUGAAGGAUUAAUUUAAACAUUAAAAAGAUUUAUGAUCUUAAUUAUACCUUAAGCUGAUGACGCAGGCCACAUUGACUUUACCAGACUUCCCCCGCCCCCGCCAAAAAAACCCCCAAGCUUAGAGUCAUUCCUAAGAAUUCUGCUUUUCUUUCUGCUUUCUAGCUUCCAAACUUUGUCAAGAAUAAAAUUAUCUUUAAAAUAAAUUGUUCCACACCAUCCAGUGGGGGUUCGGAUGUCAAUAACAUGUCUAAAGACAGAAUGAAACAAUCAGAAGAGAAGAGGGAUCAGCAGAGAAAACAAGGGUGGGAAAGUGGAGCUCUGGCAACUUCUAUCCCUGUGGAGGGAAGGCUGGCUCGUGGACUUGUCAGACAUCUUGGCAGAAAAGUAUCUCCGUUUUCAGUCAACUUUUCUUAGCCAGACAACAUUGAACAAUCAAAUCAAAUCAUUAACUCCAUCCAUUUUCAAAUUCCAUGUUCAUGAAGCAAAUUUCUAAUUAUGGCCUCCCCAUNNNNNNNNNNNNNNNNNNNNNNNNNNNNNNNNNNNNNAGAAUUCACUGAAUAAAGUAGAUAUUAAACUGGAAUCCUUGGUGGCAGAGGAUGGCAGCAUCCAAGUGGAGCUUUGAAAACACUGCUUUUAAAAUUAAAAGAAAAAACUACAUUGGAAAAUGUAAAAAUAUAUGACAAUAUCAUUCUUGGUUCACACUAAAAUGGAUGAUUGAUUUCAGCUCUCAGACAAUAAAGGCAGGAAAAAAAACCUUGUGCUUUAAAAACAAAAAUCCUUUAUUUUUUUUGAGAGAACCUAUGUGAGAUUCUGAGGAUAUAGCAGCGAACAAGAUGGCUGUUUGCUGCCCCUGUGGAGAAGAAUUCUACUGGAGGAAAACUGAUUAUAUAACAGUACUUAAUAAUUAAAUAUAACACUUUAUAACAAAAGUGAGACUAACAGAUAAAAAGUGCUAAUAAAAUGUGGAAUUUGGUACCUGUCCUAGUCUGUGGGGCUAGGGAAGGCUUUGUUGAAGAAAUAACUGUAACCUGGGAUAUGAAGUCUCAGGAAAGAAGAGGAUUCGUAGUGGCAGAGGACAAAGGGGAAAUAUUCUGGAUCAUAUUAGUCAAGGUUCUUGGUUGCAAACAAUACUAGCCAACUGACUGGCUAGAAGAUUAAAAAACAAAUUAUUAAAAAAAUAUUGGGCUUAUCUCUGAAUCAGUUGGGAGACUGUGAAAUAGGAUUAGUGAAUGAGAAAGAACCAAAAAAAUCUAAGACAAUGGGAAACACAAUUCAGAACACACCAGGGUAAUUGUUGCCUGAGAUGCUGUAACUGCUGCUGUCCCCACUUGGUAUUUGUGCUGAGCUGUAAUUCAUCUUCUCCUGUCACUGUGUCCUUGUUUCACUUCCAUGUUUGGCAGGAGCAUCUGACUGGCCAAGUAUGGUAGCUAUUUUUUAAGAUGACUCCUAUUCAUGACAUUGCUUGGUAUUCAAGCCCUUGUUUGGCCCCCUCUCAUAGUGUAUUAGGGUUGGUCUUUGUGACCAGUAGAAUGUAGCAGAAGUGGGAGUUCCCAUUGUGGUGCAGUGGAAAUGUAUCCAACUAGUAUUCAUGAGGCCACAGGUUCGGUCCCUGGCCUCGCUCAGUGCGUUAAGAAUCUGGUGUUGCCAUGAGCCGAGGCGUAGGCUGCAGAUGUGGCUUGGCUCUGGUGUUGCUAUGGCUGUGGUGUAGGUCAACAGCUACAGCUCCCAUUUAACCGCUAGCCUGGGAACUUCCAUAUG